GGAAUAUUGGUCAAUGGGAGGAAUCCUGAACCAGCCAUGCCGCGUGGGGGAAGAAGGUCCUAUGGGUUGUAAACCCCUUUUACGCCGGAGUAAUAAGAGCCUUGCGAGGCUCGAUGAGAGUAUGGCGGGAAUAAGCAUCGGCUAACUCCGUGCCAGCAGCCGCGGUAAUACGGAGGAUGCAAGCGUUAUCCGGAUUUAUUGGGUUUAAAGGGUGCGCAGGCGGGCUGUUAAGUCAGCGGUGAAAUGUCCCGGCUCAACCGGGGCCCUGCCGUUGAUACUGGCAGUCUGGAGUGCGGACGGCGCCGGCGGAAUGUGUCGUGUAGCGGUGAAAUGCUUAGAUAUGACACAGAACACCGAUCGCGAAGGCAGCUGGCGAGGCCGUUACUGACGCUGAGGCACGAAAGCGUGGGGAUCAAACA
rnacentral:rRNA from 1 species